GCCAGGGUGGCAUAGUGGUUUGGGUUUUGGACUAGGACAGUGCGAGACCAGGGUUCAAAUCACUGCUUGGCCA